CUAUCGACAACGUUGAAUUUUUAUGGUCUCCGAAGGAACGGCGCAGUUUAACGAGCCGGCGAGAGUCUGGCCAUGUUUAUUGAUUUACUCGCUAAUUUUUCAGCUCCGGCAAAGACGGCCGAGGAGUGCGGUCAAUCAAGGACAUCCGAGGACUGGCCCGGGCUGAGAUGAGAGUCGAUCGCGGCAGGCAGGCCAUUGUCCUUGAUUUAUGGUCCGUCAUUCAUUGCCAGCCACCAAAGUUGACACUUCUGCGUAUAUCCCGGAGUUCGUCCUGCCAUUGUCAUCCAGUCACUCCCCUCGAUGUCGUCGUCCUGCGUCCUUCGACGUCCCUCCCGUUGCGCUCAUCCUGACAUUUUGACAAAUAAUUUUAUUGAUGCUCUGUUCCUCGCCGUCUGUGUUUGGUUUUUAAUUGUCGCUCAGCUGCGCUGGACGCACGUGAUAAUUGCUCAUUUUAUGACGCAUUUAUCAAAUGCUCGGCCUUGGUCUCGUCCUUGGCAUUGGCAUCGGCAUCGGCAUUCGGAAUGUCCUUUGUUCGGUGGUGAUUUUCUGCAUCAUGCUGCGUCUGACAGUUGGACUAGCGUACUCCUCCUGUUCCUCUUCUACCUUCCCCUUCAAUCCUCCGCAGAUGAGACAGUCACGCGUCAUUUAUUUGGCCGUGACAUUUCCACUCCGGGUUGCCAUUUUGCAUUCGCGGGAAUUAGGAAUGGAUUUGG
ensembl:ncRNA lncRNA:CR44731 long non-coding RNA:CR44731